ACUGCUAGUAGUCUGUUGUUAUUUAUGUAUUAUUGUCAUUUUAUUUAUUUUCUUUUGUUAAAUCUUUUGACAUCGGACUCGGACUUCUCUUGAACUGAAUUUUAAUGUGCGUAUUGUUAUGCGUUUACUUUUCUACAUUGGCUUAGAGGUAUAGGGGGAGGGUUGAGAUCUCAUAAACAUGUUUAACCCCGCCGCAAUUUUGCGCCUGUCCCAAGUCAGGAGCCUCUGGCCUUUGUUCGUCUUGUAUGAUUUUUAAUUUUAGUUUCUUGUGUAUAAUUCGGAGUUUAGUAUGACGUCCAUUAUCACUGUACUAGUAUACAUAUUUUUAGGGGCCAGCUGAAGGACACCUACGGGUGCGGGAAUUCUCGCUACAUUGAAGACCCAUUGGUGGCCUUCGGCUGUUGUCUGCUCUAUGGUUGGGUUGUUGUCGCUUUGACACAUUCCCCAUUUUCUUUCUCAAUUUCAU
rnacentral:lncRNA from 1 species